rnacentral:rRNA from 1 species
UACAGAGGGGGCAAGCGUUGUUCGGAAUUACUGGGCGUAAAGGGCGCGUAGGCGGCCUUCUAAGUCGAACGUGAAAGCCCCAGGCUUAACCUGGGAACUGCGUCCGAUACUGGGAGGCUUGGAUUCGGGAGAGGGAUGUGGAAUUCCAGGUGUAGCGGUGAAAUGCGUAGAUAUCUGGAGGAACACCGGUGGCGAAGGCGGCAUCCUGGACCGAGAUCGACGCUGAGGCGCGAAAAGCUAGGGGAGCAAACGGGG